AUGAAUGGCUUAACAUGAUUGGAAUGGAGCCAGGUUGCCACGGCUCCCCGGGUUUGGCGUAGCGCUUCCUAGCAACAGAUCGUCUCCUGGUUUCUCGGCGCUGGCAAUGAGAAAGGGAUUGGUCGAAUGCAGUUUCCAUUCACCCCGGGGGAACGUGGCAGACCAGGGGCGGGGAACGAGAGAGACAGCAGCCCACCCAGGGCCGGGGCUACUGCAUAGGUGGGCAGUGAGAGAGAAACAGGAGGGCCAUUUCCACGCUCAAGUGCCUCGUUUUUUUCGUUCCGGAUGCUGUCUCUUUAGAUAUCUCCAUGGUGACGGCGAGGACGCGCAGAGAGGAGCAAGGAGGCGGGGACGAGCUUGUUUCUUGUGUGUGUUGAGUACAGUAAAGGGUUCAGCAAAGUGACGUGUGCGGAUCAGACGGGUUCUGUGGAUGGACAAAGCAAGUCUGAGCUUGGUUAACAUGUCACCUCCUUUGGCACCUGGAUGUUGCUCUUGUUUUGGACAGUCUCCAUCACACAGCAGACAAGAUUCGGCCGCUAUGGAAGAAUUGUACUGAACAAAAAUUGAUGCUAUCCUGCAAAACAUCCUGGUCACCAGUGGCAAGACAUUAUGAAGAAGACACUUGACUCUAGAUUGAUGUGGAGGGCUGACCUCCAAGAAUGAAAAUGGGGAGUGCAUUUCAGAAGGUUGCCUCUGUCUUAUCUUGCAGCCCUGAUGAUGAACUGAGCUGCGUUUCGACCGACAUGGAUGAAGUAAUGGCUGACAGGAUGCUGGAUGCCUGCCACAAGAAGAUAAAGAGGCUCCCAGUUCCGAUCUGCUCGUUCACCCAUGUAGAGAAGUUGUACAUCAGCAACAACAAGCUGAGGGAACUCCCCAAUGAGUUUGAGCAGCUGGUCAACUUAAAAAUUCUAGCACUGGACUUUAACAAAUUUGAAGAUGUGCCUAAAGUUGUAUGCAAUAUGCAAAACCUAACCCGGCUCUAUCUUGGGAGCAAUAGAUUAAUGACAAUUCCUCCAGAGUUUAGGAAUCUAGAAAAUCUCAGGUGUCUAUGGAUAGAGAGCAAUUAUUUCAGAAAAUUUCCCAAACAGUUAAUUAAUAUGCCCAGUCUGAGGUCACUCCAGAUGGGAGACAACAAGCUAAAGACUUUACCAGAGGAUCUGGUUAGGUUCAUAAAUUUGCGUGGAUUUUGGUUGUAUGGAAAUAGAUUUGAGGACUUCCCGAAAGUAUUACUUAAAAUGGAAUUUCUAGAAAUCCUCGAUGUGGACAAAAACAAAAUUACUGAGUUCCCUAAUAUGGAACACCUUUCAAGGCUCAAACUGCUUUCCUAUGACCAUAAUCCUGCCAAGCACCCACCAAGUGUUGCAGAUGGUGUAACACUGGUAGGUGAAGGGGCAGCUGAAUUAAGGGCUGCCAGGGCUCAAGAAAGUGAAGAGAAUGAUGAAAAUCAGGAGCCUCUGCACAGCAUCCUCAAAAAUGGUUCCAUGGGACUGGAAACAGAGGGAAACUUCUCCACUUUAGACUGUUCUCAAGAGGAGACAUGAGACCUACUGCGGAUAUCAGCCAAGGAAUAUCACAUACCAGGCACUGAGUGACAGACAGCUCCUUUGAAGUCAUUGUGAGAUGGUGGGUAACUCACUCUGGAACAGUCAGAAAUGGAGUAGGCAGCUGAAGAUAUAAAUGGCUCAAUGGACAGGAACUGGAUGAAAAUACAGUCAAACACACACACAAAAAAAGAAAAAUUGGUUAUUUCUCUGUAGACGCUAUUUGUCAGAUUACAGGAAUGGGUGUGUUUAAACCAGAAAGGGCCCUUUUAAUGAAAGAUUUUGCUGUGACAAAUUUCUCAGCUGAUUGUGUUAACAAUGUGGAUGUGCCACAUGCAAUUUAGGACCAUAUGUAUCUGUAUUAUCAGAUUAACUUAAAAAUGUCUAUAACUCUGCAUCGCAGUGAUAACAGUUGGAUAAUACUUCAUAGGAGAAAGUAGUCAUUAACUGUUAUAAGUAUUACAGUAAUGAAGCUUGAAGGCCAGUUUUCAUAUUACAAUAAGAUUUCGGGUGAGAGUUACAUAUUUAUUAAUAAGUUGUUCUUACUAAUAAAUUUGUAAUGAAUAAAGCAUCACAAGAAUGUGUUACUUUUGCACAAUGGACCAUCUUCAGCUGCAUUACUAAACUCCAUUCAUCACUUUGAAAAUAAGCUGCUUCAUCGAUUGUUUACAUGUUCAUAGAAUUCCAAUGAGUUAAAAAUAACAACUCAUUCUGUCCACAGCAGAGGUUUUAAAAAAAAGCAAAAAAAAAUCACACACUCAGUAUUUGCAUGCAUGACUUGCUUUACGUUUACAUUUCCUUAAAUGGCAAGAGAGAGAUUUUUUCAGCUGUAAGGGAGUGUGCCAGGAAUGCAGUUUAAAUCUGCUCACAUAUCCACUCCUUUACUUCUGUUUAGGGACAAACGAUUCAUGGCAUUACAAAAAACAUAAGCCAGGAAAUGAGGGACAAAGAUAUUACAAUAAAUGAAAAUUGUCAUACUGCUGCAAUUGUGGGAAAUCGUGUGGACAUAGACAUCUGCAGGGGCACUAUAAUUGCUGAGCAAUGUAAAUAAACAUGCAGGACUUUAUUGAAGAAUUUCUAUUUCCUCCCCUUUUUAUUUAAUCCAUUUAUCAGGGCAAUCUUACCGAGGUUUAAGUCCUAAAACGAGGGGAAAAAAAAGCAAGAAAAUUGGCGAAUGUGACAUACUGGUCUGACUCAUCCUGUACACUUCAAAAUAGAGCUUAUUUUUUAUGGUUGUGACCUUAGAAGGAGGCUUUGCUGAGUGUGAAUCUGUGCCUUGAAGGAAGAAAGGUCCUAUUUCAGCUGCUACAGGGG